ACGAACGCUGGCGGCGUGCUUAACACAUGCCAGUCGAGCGGUAAGGCCUUUCGGGGUACACGAGCGGCGAACGGGUGAGUAACACGUGGGUGAUCUGCCCUGCACUUCGGGAUAAGCCUGGGAAACUGGGUCUAAAACCGGAUAUGACCUCCUAUCGCAUGGUGGGUGGUGGAAAGAUUUAUCGGUGCAGGAUGGGCCCGCGGCCUAUCAGCUUGUUGGUGGGGUAAUGGCCUACCAAGGCGACGACGGGUAGCCGACCUGAGAGGGUGACCGGCCACACUGGGACUGAGACACGGCCCAGACUCCUACGGGAGGCAGCAGUGGGGAAUAUUGCACAAUGGGCGAAAGCCUGAUGCAGCGACGCCGCGUGAGGGAUGACGGCCUUCGGGUUGUAAACCUCUUUCAGCAGGGACGAAGCGCAAGUGACGGUACCUGCAGAAGAAGCACCGGCUAACUACGUG
rnacentral:rRNA from 1 species